CGCACUUCGAGGUGCGGUGGCCGCAAGUUGGUGCUGCUUGCCGUAUCUGUGCAUCUGCGUGAAAGAGAAAGAAAGAGAGAGAGCAAGCAACUGCCGCGAUUUCAUGGCCAAUGGCAGAAGAAAUGUGCAUAUUUAAUACAGGAAGAAACAACUUACUGCCCAGGCUCAUGUGGAAGGGUAGAGAUGAAGAAGAGGCAUAAGAAGUAAUGUAAAACAAGCAGAAGCAAAGAAAAAGUAUUCAUUGUGCAAUUUAAAAAAAACCAAAUAUUAUGGGUCAGAAAGGAUAGUUCAGAACUGAAAGAAUAAAGUAUUUGCCAGUUAUAUUGAUGAUCAUGUUGCUGCAUCAUUUAGGAUUGUACACCCUUUUCUUAAUUACUUCAAAAUAUGUACUUUGCUAACAUUAUACUUAAGCAGAGAUUAAAAAACAAUGAGUUUUAA